UUUCGAUCAUUACGAAAAUCUAUUUUUAUGGCACAGGAUCGAAAACCGAUGUAAAGCGCCAUCUGUGAGAGCACCCGUGAACGCGGAUCGAUACACAAAACGUUCCGCUUGACUGCAGCACUGGAUAAACGUGAAUGAUAUUUCGUUAGCAGAGUGCGCCACACGAAGAUCCAUCGAAAAACGUAACGCAAACGUGUAACCAUCGAGUAUAGUAUAGUAUAGCGUCAAGUAUAUCUACCUAUUCAGUAUUAGUCAUUAAAACGUGUUAUA